UCUCCGUUGGUGAACCAGCGGAGGGAUCAUUACAGGACUCGCAAGACUCCUACAACCCUGUGAACUUAACUAUAAGCACGUUGCUUCGGCGGGUGUCUCGGAGGGGGUUCUCCCUCCCCGAGACACUAAACCCGCCGGCAGCCUACUAUACUCUGUCUCUUUGCGUUGGCAUCUCGAGUACAAUCAAACAAGUUAAAACUUUCAACAACGGAUCUCUUGGUUCUG
rnacentral:misc_RNA from 1 species